rnacentral:rRNA from 1 species
AAUAUCCUACGGGACGCAGCAGUGAGGAAUAUUGGUCAAUGGUCGGGAGACUGAACCAGCCAAGCCGCGUGAGGGAGGAAGGUACAGAGUAUCGUAAACCUCUUUUGUCAGGGAACAAAGACUGGGACGCGUCCCCGGAUGAGUGUACCUGAAGAAAAAGCAUCGGCUAACUCCGUGCCAGCAGCCGCGGUAAUACGGAGGAUGCGAGCGUUAUCCGGAUUUAUUGGGUUUAAAGGGUGCGCAGGCGGUCUGUUAAGUCAGCGGUCAAAGCCCGGGGCUCAACCCCGGCCCGCCGUUGAAACUGG